AUACGUAUGUCGCAAGCGUUAUCCGGAAUUAUUGGGCGUAAAGCGAGUCUAGGCGGCUUGUUAAGUCAGAUGUGAAAAUGCGGGGCUCAACUCCGUAUUGCGUUUGAAACUGGCAGGCUAGAGUACUGGAGAGGUGGGCGGAACUACAAGUGUAGAGGUGAAAUUCGUAGAUAUUUGUAGGAACGCCGAUAGUGAAGACAGCUCACUGGACAGAUACUGACGCUAAAGCUCGAAAGCGUGGGGAGCGAACAGGAUUAGAAACCCUUGUAGUCC
rnacentral:rRNA from 1 species